AACAAGAUGAGCUCAUUCAAGGAAAAGAGGCGAAGCUGAGAAAGAGAAGUGGGCUGUCACGUUCUGCCCACGGAAGCCCUGGGUUCCUGACAGCUCACCACUAGCUUAUUCAAUUCCUGUAGGUUGGAAGGUUAUCCAGCUGGCUUGUGCGUCCAAGCCCUGAUGGUCGUCCCCUGCAUGGGAGUUGUAAGAUGUUAGACAUAUAUUGGGUGGUGCUGACAGCUGCAUGGAGGCCCCUGUGUGACCCACCAGAUGCUAUGAGUAGAUGA
rnacentral:lncRNA from 1 species